AUUGAACGCUGGCGGCAGGCCUAACACAUGCAAGUCGAACGGUAACAGGAAGAAGCUUGCUUCUUUGCUGACGAGUGGCGGACGGGUGAGUAAUGUCUGGGAAACUGCCUGAUGGAGGGGGAUAACUACUGGAAACGGUAGCUAAUACCGCAUAACGUCGCAAGACCAAAGAGGGGGACCUUCGGGCCUCUUGCCAUCGGAUGUGCCCAGAUGGGAUUAGCUAGUAGGUGGGGUAACGGCUCACCUAGGCGACGAUCCCUAGCUGGUCUGAGAGGAUGACCAGCCACACUGGAACUGAGACACGGUCCAGACUCCUACGGGAGGCAGCAGUGGGGAAUAUUGCACAAUGGGCGCAAGCCUGAUGCAGCCAUGUCGCGUGUAUGAAGAAGGCCUUCGGGUUGUAAAGUACUUUCAGCGGGGAGGAAGGGAGUAAAGUUAAUACCUUUACUCAUUGACGUUACCCGCAGAAGAAGCACCGGCUAACUCCGUG
rnacentral:rRNA from 1 species